CUACGUGCCAGCAGCCGCGGUAAUACGUAGGUGGCAAGCGUUGUCCGGAAUUAUUGGGCGUAAAGCGCGCGCAGGCGGAUCAGUUAGUCUGUCUUAAAAGUUCGGGGCUUAACCCCGUGAUGGGAUGGAAACUGCUGAUCUAGAGUAUCGGAGAGGAAAGUGGAAUUCCUAGUGUAGCGGUGAAAUGCGUAGAUAUUAGGAAGAACACCAGUGGCGAAGGCGGCCUUCUGGGCCAUAACUGACGCUGAGGAGCGAAAGCUAGGGGAGCAAACAGGAUUAGAUACCCUGGUAGUCCACGCCGUAAACGAUGAGUGCUAGGUGUUAGACCCUUUCCGGGGUUUAGUGCCGUAGCUAACGCAUUAAGCACUCCGCUUGGGGAGUACGACCGCAAGGUUGAAACUCAAAGGAAUUGACGGGGGCCCGCACAAGCGGUGGAGCAUGUGGUUUAAUUCGAAGCAACGCGAAGAACCUUACCAGGUCUUGACAUCC
rnacentral:rRNA from 1 species